AUGGCGACCGCGACAGACACGUUUUUAUACUGCUGAGCGGUGUUUCGGAUUUCUAUCCCUUACUUUCAACAUUUGACUCUUAAUAUGUUGCACUAAGUAUCAUGAACAGAGUAUUAACAAUCUCUCAGCCUCUUAAAAUACUGUCUCUUUGCUGAACUAAUUUUCUUUUUUGCCGACCGAACCGCAUCACUGCUUUGCUAAUAACAGCUACUUCGUGGAUCCUCAACUUUCAUCAACAUGAAGCCGAUUGAACAAGGGGCGAAACGUAAAGAAAAGGAGCCUACUGUCCAGAGAGAAGGACUGAAACAGCGGAAGUGGGUCAAAUUAGCUCAAAGACUUUGCACCUGGUUAAUCGGACAGCUCGGCUCUCAGCCAAUCAAAGGAGAGCACCUCCGUGGACACGGGGUUUGGCACGAGAGCAGGUGAACAGCGUUUUUUAUAGGUAGUUUGGAUCGAGACGAGGUCGGGACACAAGGAGAGAGAAGAGCCCAGACCAGAUGGUUCCGCCCGGGGAGGAAGCCGUCAUGCCGUGUGCUACAGCUGCAGUGGCGGGAGUGAAGUUCCUCCUUCGCGUUAAAUUAUAAAGGGCCACAACCGCUCCGACAAGAAACCACGUUCAACGGCAAAGAAAAGAAGCGACAGGGUAAAUCUGGAUGUGUCUUCCCGCCGCUGGAGAAGCUGCUGAGAGGAAAGAGAUGCGGUUUGAUGCCGAGCUCACAACUUUCCUGUUAGCCUGGACCUGAGCCAGUACAGGUGUAAUACCGCCUCCACCUGUCUCACCAACAGCUGAGAGUCCAGACUCAGUGAGGAGGGUCCAGGACCAGAAGUCCAGUCUAAUCAUCACCAGUGAUGGACCAGCACCUGCCUUUUCUUCUGCAUCUGGCCUCAUCAAUCAUCAACCACAUCACAUCAACACCUGGAGUCCUUAGAAUGCUUCAUUUUCUCCUCAUCUUAUCAUCCCCCGAAACCA